GGCUUGAUGGUCUAGUAGUAUGAUUCCUGCUUCGGGUGCAGGAGGUCCCGGGUUCAAUUCCCGGUCAAGCCC
rnacentral:tRNA from 1 species